AUGAACGCUGGCGGCGUGCCUAAUACAUGCAGGUCUAGCGAACGGACGAGAAGCUUGCUUCUCUGAUGUUAGCGGCGGACGGGUGAGUAACACGUGGAUAACCUACCUAUAAGACUGGGAUAACUUCGGGAAACCGGAGCUAAUACCGGAUAAUAUUUUGAACCGCAUGGUUCAAAAGUGAAAGACGGUCUUGCUGUCACUUAUAGAUGGAUCCGCGCUGCAUUAGCUAGUUGGUAAGGUAACGGCUUACCAAGGCAACGAUGCAUAGCCGACCUGAGAGGGUGAUCGGCCACACUGGAACUGAGACACGGUCCAGACUCCUACGGGAGGCAGCAGUAGGGAAUCUUCCGCAAUGGGCGAAAGCCUGACGGAGCAACGCCGCGUGAGUGAUGAAGGUCUUCGGAUCGUAAAACUCUGUUAUUAGGGAAGAACAUAUGUGUAAGUAACUGUGCACAUCUUGACGGUACCUAAUCAGAAAGCCACGGCUAACUACGUG
rnacentral:rRNA from 1 species